CCUCAGCUUCCCGGGUUCAAGUGAUUCUCCUGCCCCACCCUCCUGAGUAGCUGGGAUUACAGGCAUGCGCCACCAUGCCCAGCUAAUUUUUGUAUUUUUAGUAGAGACAGGGCUUUACCAUGUUGGCCAGGCAAGCUGGUCUCCAACUCCUGACCUCAGGUGAUCCACCUGCCUCGGCCUCCCAAAGUGCUGAAAUUACAGGCGUGAGCCACUGCAUCCAGCCAGUUUCCCUUAUAUCUUUUAAAAAUAUGACUUGAAUUGGCACACAUAGUUUCCCUUUACAUCCUGUUGGUCAGAAAGCCAUAUAUGACUGUAUGAAGCACAUGGGAGGCUGGGAUAUGUAGUUUUGAGACAGGUGGCCUCAUGCUGAGCCAAAACUGUUAAAGGAUGGUGGGGAGGAUAGAUACUGAGCAGGUAGCUACUCUGCUACAGGGAAUGUAGGAAAAUAUUACAUUUUGAGUGUCAGAACACUGCCAUUUAUUUAUUUAUUUCUUUAUGAGAUGGGGUCUUGCUCUGUGGCCCAGGCUGGAGUGCAGU
rnacentral:lncRNA from 10 species